rnacentral:lncRNA from 1 species
CCUUCCUCAUCUCUCUGCUCUCUCCGAAAUCACCACUUCCCGGCCACUACCACACUACACCGCCACCACCAUUUGAAUCAUAACACAAACCCGACCAAGACCCAGUCGUUUCGCCGUCGAUCAAGACGUUCCGGUCACCGCACUCAACCUCCAAACCUGCGACGCCACUGUUCCACGACCCUCACCGAUUUCCAGGCAUCCCUUUACCACACCACCAUCACCGCUGCACUCAGCGAGCAAUGGAGAAGAAAACCCAGAGGUUCAGUCACCCACUGAUGCCGGACGAGGCCGUACAAGUCGUCGCCGGAAUCUGGGAUUCUGCAAGUAUCGAUUCGUCGUUUCCGGCCACUCGAGCUGCACAACCACCAUAGUUGGAAUCAGAGCCUCCUCAUUCUUCAAAACCCUUUGGUCCCGACCUUUGCUUUGGCCAGAACCGCUGCAUGCGCUGCCGCUGCUUUGUGGACCACCGUGGCUCCGCCACCGG